rnacentral:rRNA from 1 species
GUGGGGGAUAUUGCACAAUGGAGGAAACUCUGAUGCAGCGACGCCGCGUGAGGGAAGACGGUCUUCGGAUUGUAAACCUCUGUCUUAGGGGAAGAAAAUGACGGUACCCUAAGAGGAAGCUCCGGCUAACUACGUGCCAGCAGCCGCGGUAAUACGUAGGGAGCGAGCGUUGUCCGGAAUUACUGGGUGUAAAGGGAGCGUAGGCGGGACAGCAAGUUGGAUGUUUAAACUAUCGGCUUAACCGGUAACUGCAUCCAAAACUGCAGUUCUUGAGUGAAGUAGAGGCAGGCGGAAUUCCUAGUGUAGCGGUGAAAUGCGUAGAUAUUAGGAGGAACACCAGUGGCGAAGGCGGCCUGCUGGGCUUUAACUGACGCUGAGGCUCGAAAGCGUGGGGAGCAAACAGGAUUAGAAACCCUAGUAGUCC